CACCGCGGUGAGACGGGAGACUCAAGUUGAUAACCUUCGGCGUAAGCGUGGUUAGGGUAAUCCCAAAAUUAAAGCCGAACGCCUUUUAGACCGUUAAAAGUAUAUUAAGGUAAGAAGCUCGUUUACGAAAGUAGCUUAAUCACCCCCGAUUCCACGAAAGCUAAGGCA
rnacentral:rRNA from 1 species